rnacentral:snRNA from 1 species
AUACUUACCUGGCAGGAGAGAUACCGUGAUCACCAAGAUGGUUUUCCCAGGGUGAGGCUUACCCAUUGCACUCCGGAUGUGCUGACCUCUGUGAUUUCCCCAAAUGUGGAAAACUCAACUGCAUAAUUUGUGGUCGCAGAGGACUGCAUUGGCACUCUCCCUUA